CCCUACGGGGGGCAGCAGUGAGGAAUAUUGGUCAAUGGGCGGGAGCCUGAACCAGCCAAGCCGCGUGAGGGAAGAAGGUACAGCGUAUCGUAAACCUCUUUUGUCAGGGAACAAAGGCGGGGACUAGUCCCCGGAUGAGGGUACCUGAAGAAAAAGCAUCGGCUAACUCCGUGCCAGCAGCCGCGGUAUUACGGAGGAUGCGAGCGUUAUCCGGAUUUAUUGGGUUUAAAGGGUGCGUAGGCGGAAUAUCAAGUCAGCGGUAAAAAUUCGGGGCUCAACCCCGUCGUGCCGUUGAAACUGAUGUU
rnacentral:rRNA from 1 species